AGGAAAUGAAGGCUUAGACAAUUAAUUAGAGACUGCUGGACGUGUUGUUUAAGAAUCUGGAUAAUUGAGUUCUAAUUUCUCCGUUCUCCCUACAAUUUGGUAAAUUAAAAAAAAAGAUUUUGAGAUGCAGUCUCAUUUAUGGCCAUUAAGGUGCAUUCCUCCUGGUUUGGCUACCAAGAAAAGAUUUCUCACUGUGUUUUACCUGCUGCAAAAUUGGGAAUUCCAGAAAUCUCACAGUGUCCAGAUGAAUUUUUCUUUCUGAAUCUGGGAUGCAGCACCCUUUUUUGAAAGACAAAGAGAGUAAAUUGUGGGAAUGAGAAGCUUGGAAGGGGCAGUGGUGAAAUGAUAGGAUUUUGCUGAGAUUUCAUUGAAUAUCUUGACUAUGAACCAAAACUUCUUUGCUUGUGGAGUGGAGAGAAAAGUGAAGGUAGCAUUUUCUUUCCUAUCUCUCAAAUUCCAACUGUGAAGAGUGAGACAGAGGCGUCUACGUGGAGCCAUUGGGCUGAAGAUUUUCAUCAACAGCAUCAGCCGUAUGAACUGGAAUAUGAUGGACACCGUUAUGGUGACAAUGAAGAGGAAAACAGCAACAUGUCAAUUCCCCACUCGGGGCAGUCAGAGGUCUCCAGAGAGGGGACAAGGGCAAGGAAGAAAGUGAAGAUGCAGUCCGCUCCGACUUAUUUAACAGGCCAGCUUGAACAGGGCAGUAGAUAAGCGAGUGUCACAAUUCCUGGUCCUUGGUUUCUUUAAUGCCAACCAUUUAUUUGAACAGAGGGCAAUUUGGGUAGGCAGCUACAUGAUUUAUUGCCAUGCUGACCUGAUCAGGGACUGCGAGAAGAGCAGUACUUCUGAGGUGUCCCAGAAGUUCUCAGACCUGCAUGGAUUUUGAUGGUUGAAUUUACAUAUUUCUGCAUAGCCAUAAAACACUCCUUCCUUUGUUCCUACUCAAGAUUCCGCCCAGGUCCCUGCCCAGUCCCUCCCUGAGGCAAUCUUAGGGAGCUGCCUAUCAGAGAACCUCAAUGGGAUCACGUUAUGGGGUCCUUUCAUUAUCAUAUAAUUAUACCCUGGGAGGCCCGGUGGUCCCUUUACGUUUCAGUUCUCUGGUGACAUUUCAUGUUAAGUUCAACUGUGUGCUUCUCACUGUCCUUGUACUUUUGGUUCUGGUUUUUGACGGAGGCCCCUUUUUCUUAGAAUAUUUUUUACUUUCAUUUUCUUGUUUCUAAAGCAGUAUGACACCUACUUUCUAUUACUUGUUAUUCUCCAUCAACGUCACUUAACAAGAAAGCUAAAAAUUAAUGUAUGCUUUAUAUAUUUAGUUUGUGUGUUGACAAAUAAAAAUGGCAAGCAAUAGGAUAUAUUGGAGAAUAUGAGGAAGCCAUUUGGUAUAAACCUAAUCCCCGCCCUGUCUUUCCAAAAG